AUUGAACGCUGGCGGCAGGCCUAACACCUGCAAGUCGGGCGCGCGGCGUACGGUUUAGUAAUGUAUGUGGCUCUUCCUGAUGGAUGGGGAUCACUACUGGACACUGUAUCUAAUACCGCAUACCAUCACAUGAACCCCGAUGGGAUUAGCUUUUAGGUAAGGUAACGGCUUACCUAGGUGACGAUCCCUAGCUGGUCUGAGAGGAUGAUCAGCCACACUGGGACUGAGACACGGCCCAGACGCCUACGGGAGGCAGCAGUGGGGAAUAUUGCACAAUGGGCGCAAGCCUGAUGCAGCCAUGCCGCGUGUAUGAAGAAGGCCUUCGGGUUGUAAAGUACUUUCAGUCGGGAGGCGUUACCGACAGAAGAAGCACCGGCUAACUCCGUGCCAGCAGCCGCGGUAAUUC
rnacentral:rRNA from 1 species